rnacentral:rRNA from 1 species
GAUGAACGCUGGCGGCGUGCCUAAUACAUGCAAGUCGAGCGAACAGACGAGGAGCUUGCUCCUCUGACGUUAGCGGCGGACGGGUGAGUAACACGUGGAUAACCUACCUAUAAGACUGGGAUAACUUCGGGAAACCGGAGCUAAUACCGGAUAAUAUAUUGAACCGCAUGGUUCAAUAGUGAAAGACGGUUUUGCUGUCACUUAUAGAUGGAUCCGCGCCGCAUUAGCUAGUUGGUAAGGUAACGGCUUACCAAGGCAACGAUGCGUAGCCGACCUGAGAGGGUGAUCGGCCACACUGGAACUGAGACACGGUCCAGACUCCUACGGGAGGCAGCAGUAGGGAAUCUUCCGCCAUGAGCGAAAGCCUGACGGAGCAACGCCGCGUGAGUGACGAUGGUCUUCGGAUCGUAAAACUCUGUUAUUAGGGAAGAACAAAUGUGUAAGUAACUAUGCACGUCUUGACGGUACCUAAUCAGAAAGCCACGGCUAACUACGUG